UCAGGCUGCAUCAGCUGAAGCUGUUAUUUGUAUAUAUCAGUAUUUUUUAUUCAGGUGUGGGGAAAAUACGUAAGACUGCAGUGAAGCGAUGCACCAGAUUAAUCCCUGGCCAAAGAACAGUUCUCCACAGUCGCUGUCCACAUGGGUCAGUGGGACCAAGAAGCACUCUGCUAAUGUGUGGACUCUGACCAGCAACAUCCAGCAGGACCCAGACAGCGUUUUCUCUCUCCCAGCUGGAGUUUUUGUUUGUCUGUGACUGGAGAGUCAGAUUUUUGUUGAGCUUCACACUUGCAGACCUAAGUCAGUUUGCAGAGAUCCCUCCCACCCUGGUUUUUAUGUGCUAGAUUUCUUAUCUGAAACAGUAAUAUUUCAGUGACUGCUGCUUAUACCACAGGUUAAUACACGCUACUGAUCCCUGAUGGGAGAAUCAUCAAUUUUGGCAACAAAGAAGCCUGGUGGAUGUUUGUUUGCAGUCUGAUGAUGGGACAUCAUGCUCUGCAUCGUCAAAGUUUGCCUCCUCAUUAUUAUUCAUACCCAGUAAUGUGAAGUAUGCUUAUAUCUACUAUAACUGAACCAACCUGGUGCUCUUCAUUUAUGGAGGCUGUUGAGUCUGAAUGUUGGAUGUUGUGUAUCUCGUGUUCUCUGGGCUUUGUUGCCCUCAGUCUUUUCGCAGGAUCAGAAAACAAAACCAGGAGGCGCGUAAAUGUUUCUUCUCCAUGAUGUUUCUUCAAAUGUUUCUUCUGGAUGAUGAUAAGACUGUGACACGGGAUGCCACCUUUGGUCUUGUGAUGAAGCAAAGCUCAGGAAGAAGUGGGAUUAAAUGGUACCCACAUGUGUGCUGCUGAGAAGGAUGUACAGGGGCACCUGCAGCCAAAUCCAAGCCUCAGAGCAGAGCAGCAGUUUGUGCUCACAGAUGGUGACGGUGUGGAGAGAUGGUGGUGUUUCCUCAGAAGAACCAGCAGAGUCACUCGCUGACUGAUGCUCAUCUGCACUGCACAGAGGAAAUCAACUGACCGAGGAGUGUUUCUGAGUGAGGGGGAGAGGAGUCAUCAUCCAGGUAAAGUGACGUAGAUCAGUGGAUACACUUGUCUCCCCUUUAAAGGAGACGAUCCAAGUCAUCC